rnacentral:rRNA from 1 species
GACGAACGCUGGCGGCGUGCUUAACACAUGCAAGUCGAGCGGAGCGGCGUACGGGUGAGUAACGCGUGAGUAACUGCCCCCCUCUCUGGGAUAACAGUUGGAAACGGAUGAGAAUAGCGGAUAGUGGGGGAUGACUCGCGUCGUAUCCGCUUGAUGGUGGGGUAGUGGCCUAACAAGGCGACGACGGGUAGCCGGCCUGAGAGGGCGACCGGCCACAUUGGGCUGAGAUACGGACCGAACUCCUACGGGAGGCAGCAGUGGGGGAUAUUGCACAAUGGGGGAAACCCUGAUGCAGCAACGCGCGUGCGGGAGGACGGCCUUCGGGUUGUAAACCGCUUUCAGCCAUGACGCGUUAGUGGCAGAAGAAGCACCGGCUAACUACGUGCCAGCAGCCGCGGUGAUUC